CUUAGCUAAUGCUGUGUGCUUUGUUUAAACCUCCAAAAAAUUGAAAACAAUACAUAGCAAAACAAAACAAACCAAAGCACGAACCAGGCAAUGAACCCUAAAUCCUGAUAGCUAAAACUUGCUUUAUCGGGAAAGAUAUAGAAAAUAUGGCCAAUUAAAAUGUACAAUUACCUAUUUACAAUAUUCUAAAACUUCUUGCGGUUGAGAGUGUCAAUGUUUGUUGAACUAGAUUGAAAGCAAAUAAUCAAAAUACCAAUCUUUGACUGAAGUUUCUUCGUAACCAAACAAUAAAAACCCAUUAGCUCAGUUGGAAUUUGCAGAAAUCACGUUCCUAGUUUCUUAAUAGGUUGUUAUUUUCUCGAACCAGUCUACAGAAUAUUUGAUUAUUUACUGCAACUCUUAAUUUUCCUAUCUAUUAGAAGUUCUUUUCAAGCAGCUCUUCAUUGGAUUAUCUACUUUUGCAAAUGUUGAAGGAGAUUUUGCUGUGCAAUCAAUUUAUUCCAUUGGAGACACGUCCGUUCCUCGGACAAUUAGUGACGCAGUGGAGAAUCGGUAUAACGAAGGAAUUUCAUACAAUCACAAACAGCCCGAAAUCUCCUCAAGCAACAGUCGCUUCGUAGAGAGCAAGGAAAAGGCACAAUGGAUUGAAGACUACUGCUGACAGAAAAUUAUACAUUAAAAAGGUGGUGGUAAAGGUUGAAAUUAAGGGUAUUUAGGUAACAGAAUACGUAAUUUGGAACUCAGAAAUAAAAACCUC